rnacentral:rRNA from 1 species
GACGAACGCUGGCGGCGUGCCUAACACAUGCAAGUCGAACGGAGAUGAUGGGAUAGCUUGCUAUUUAAUCAUCUUAGUGGCGGACGGGUGAGUAACACGUGGGCAACCUGCCCCAAAGAGGGGGAUAACACCGAGAAAUCGGUGCUAAUACCGCAUAACAUUAGAGCUUCGCAUGGAGCUUUAAUCAAAGGAGCAAUCCGCUUUGGGAUGGGCCCGCGUCUGAUUAGCUAGUUGGUGAGGUAACGGCUCACCAAGGCGACGAUCAGUAGCCGAUCUGAGAGGAUGACCGGCCACACUGGAACUGAGACACGGUCCAGACUCCUACGGGAGGCAGCAGUGGGGAAUAUUGCACAAUGGGGGAAACCCUGAUGCAGCAACGCCGCGUGGAGGAAGAAGGUCUUCGGAUUGUAAACUCCUGUCUUCUGGGACGAAUAAUGACGGUACCAGAGGAGGAAGCCACGGCUAACUACGUGCCAGCAGCCGCGGU